rnacentral:lncRNA from 1 species
AAUUUUUUUAAUCACAAAACUAACUUUGUUAUAUUUUUCCCACUUAGAUUUCUACGUUAAGUAUCAUCACUGUCCCAGUGACUUCUGGUUCUUCUUUUCUUGAUGCACACAAUGUCCUCAGACUUCUUUGGAUUUUCUGCACAUCUCUUGACACUCCACGUUACUCUCCACUCAGAUUCACUCUCCAAAGUGCUUGCUGCAGACUGGCUUUUAGUCUUUCUUGAUCUCUCAAACACAUGGAGUCUGAAUUUCUUGCUUCUUCUUUCCCUUUCUGACUCUGCAUGUGAACCCCUGCACUCUUGUCCCCUCUGUUCUACCUGACUUAAAAUUAUAUUACAGAGCUAGGCAUGGUGGCUCAUGCCUGUAAUCCCAACACUUUGGGAGGCCGAGGCAGGAGGAUUGCAUAAGCCCAGGAGUUUGAAACCAGCCUUGGCAACAUAGCGACACCCUGUCUCAAAAAAAUUUUUUAAAAUUAUAUUACAGAACAGUAGUAAUCAGAACAGCAAGGCAUAAAAACAGACAUGUUGACAAAUGAAACAGAAUAGUGAACCCGGAGAUAAAUCCAUACAUCUACAGUUAACUCAUUUUCAACAAAGGUGCCAAGAACAUAUGCAGAAGAAUGAAACUAGAUACCUAUCUCUCACCAUAUACAAAAAUCAAAUCAAAAUGGAUUAGAGCCUUAUCUAAUCAUAAUGAGUCAUGGGAAAAUACUUCUCUUCAAGUAACUUAGAACCUAGAAUGAUAUAGGAUGGAGAAUUGCUGACAUCGUCUUACCACCUCAAAGUAAAUCCUGCCUGAAAUAAAACCAACACAGUGGAAACGUAGCCAUGAGAUGGAGAAGAGAGACUGCGUCUUAAUAGCAUUAUUUGAGUCCCUGGUCACACCAUGCUUGAGGUCUACUCCUAAACCUUUCAGCCACAUGUCAACAAAUUCUGUAUUUUGAUUAAGCCAGUUUAAUGUAAUUUCAUUAAGCCAAUAGCUUGUUAGACUCCUUUUACAAACAAAUACCAUAUGAUCUCACUUAUAUGUGAAAUCUCAAAAAAUUUAACUCAGAAGCAGAGUAGAAUAGUGGUUACCAGAGGCUGGGGGAAUGAGAGGCAAAUUAAGAGAGGUUGGUCAAAGGUUGCAAAAUAUCAGUUAGGCAAGAGGAAUAAGUUCAAGAGAUCUAUUGCACCAUAUGGUGACCAUGGUUAAUAAAAUGUAUUGUAUGCUUGACGAUUGCUAAGAGAGUAAAUUUUAAGUGCUGUCACCACAAAUAAAUGAUAAAUAUGUGAGGUAAUACAUACACUAAUUAGCUUGAUUGAGCUAUUCCACAGUGUAUACAUAUUUCAAAACAUCAGGUUG